UUAUUUAAAACCAUUAAUUACUAUAUAUAUCAUAAUCAUAUUAGGUAAUUCCGUAGGUUUUAUUUAAGGAAAUAAUAUAUAAUAAAUUUUAGUUUGAUAAAUCAAUAGUCCAUAAUGAACAUACUAUAUAAUAUAACAUUCUCUAGCAAUUUAAUUUUGGACUAACAAAAUUUUCAAUUUAUUUUCAAGCCACCACGUAAACAAAUUAACAUUCCAGUUACGUGAUAACUCAGCAUGACACUUUUUAAUUAGUACAAAUUACAGGUUCUAAACUUUUUAAAUGUUUCCCUAUUAAUAUAUAGGGGACGUUAAACCAUUGAUCAUUAAUUUUAAACAUAAUAAUUUUAACAGUGUUAGUAAUUGUGUCAUUUUUAAAAAUUCAAAAUAUAACAUAUACUAAAAAAAUCUAUAUUUUAAUUUGUAGCUAAUUUGAUUGUUUAAUUUAUUUUAAUAAUAUAAAAUUUAACAAAAACGAUGGAUGAGAUAUAAAUUAUUAUCAAAUCUUUAUUAUUAGAAUCAUUAAUUGUCAUAUAUAUAUUAGUCAUAUUUGGUAAUUUUGUAGUUUUUAUUUAAAGAAAGAAAAGAAAAUAGUAAUUGUAUACUUUAAUUAAUUUUAUGAUUAGUUUAAUGAAAAGUAUAAUAUAUACUUAAUUGGACCAACAUAUUUUCUAAGGAUUCUGAAUUUCAUUCUGGUGAUUACAUGUGGCUACACUUAAAGGUUGUAGUGUUUCUCGAUUAAUAUAUAAGGGAUUGCAUUGGAAUAGAAACUGAUGUUUUUCCAAACAACUGACAUGAUGUUUCCAAUUCCAUUUUUUUGGGCUAGAGUUAAUUUCUUUAACUGUGAGAAUGUUAUGUGGCAAUCCCCACACACAAAAAAAAUGCUAAAUCUUUGGUAGUAUGUAUAUGAAGUUUCCAAAUAGCUUGGUGAUGGCCAUGAGCUAUAUCAACAUUUUUUUGACUUAACGUGAGCUUACUUUGGACAUAAUAGUCUGACUUGACUCUGUAUAAUUAAUGGUCCAUGUUAUUAUGCACAUGCAUGUAUAUAAGAUUUUUUUUAAGAAUGUAAAUGUCAUAAAUGAAAAGUCUGAUUUACAAGAGCAAAUGCAAAUCUAAAAUUGAAUCACCUUGGCAAAAAGAAGAAAAUAACAAGGUGAGGCAAACAAAAGAGUGAGCAGAAAAGCUAAUUCAACUCAACCACAAAGGCAUCAAGUUCUUGAAAAGCUUCCUAUAUCGCCUUGCUGUGAUAGCAUUCCGGAUUUCUUUGUCAAUUAGACUGUGAAGACUAAUAGGAGAUAAGGUGACAGAACCUCAACGUGGUGGGAGCCUGAGUUGAUGUGGCCUUUAUCCAAGAUAAAAUCUCAGGCCAAGAGUUGAAUAGAUUUAGAGGUGGGUUUAGUCUACCAAUAGAAAGCAUCCAGACAUCAAAACUAAAACCACACUUGAGUAGUAGUAGGUGAUCUCUUGUUUCCUCUAGCUGUGAACAAAAAUGACAAAUGAUCGGGACCUGCAAACCCCAGUCUGGAAGUCUUGAGCGAGUAGGAAGCCUGUUGUAGUUUGCCAUCCACAUAUUAAACAUGUGCUUUGGAUACUUCCUUUGUGCCACCCCAGCUUGGACCACUCUUUAAUCGAGUCUCUUGGCCUCAGAACCUUUCAUGUAUUGCCUGCUUGGUCAUGUAUAUAAGAUUUUAUCUGAUUAUUAAGAUAAGCUCCAUUAGCUAAGCAAUGAUUGACAUAAACACACAAACAAACAAAAAACAACGAAUGAAAAUUUAGUAAACCUACUGCAUUAGUAAACAUUAUUCUUUUGGAAAAGAUGCUACAAAGGGAAGAUAUGAAAGAAAAAUUCUGUUAUUUCUUUAUUCUGGUAAACAAAUGAUUUUCUUUAGUAUUUUGAAUAGGGGUGAGCACAAAAAAAAAUGAACCCCAAAAACUCGAACUGAAUCAACCCAAAAAUUGAGUUUCAACCGAAUCCGAUAUAAUAUUUGAUGGGUCUUGUUCAAUGGUAUUUCUGAUCUUAGGUUUAACAAAUCCAAACCUAAACACAUAGAUCCGAAUAUACUUGGAAAAAUUAAAACCUAAAAAAUAACUAUAACAAAUCAAAUCCAAUUCCGAGUAAGUAUCUAAAAUAUUCAAAGCUUCUAAUGAGUAUUUAAAUCUAUUACAUGAAUAACUAAACCAACAUUCAUUUUAAUGUAUAUUUUGUUGUUUGAUCAAAUACUAAGGACCUACGGUUUUUGUGUUUUGACAAUUGAAUAUGAAGUUCGAUUGAAAUAAAUUUGAUAAUUUCCUCUAUUUUGAAGUUUAAAUAAGGGUUAAAUCAUAUUUCUUAUAUUUACAAAGUUGUUAGUUUUACCUUAUUUAUGUUUUUCUACUCGUAAUGACUAUUGUCGAAUCAUGUCAGCAAGCAUUUGUUAGUAUAAAUUUAUAAUUGUCCAGUUUUUAAAUCAAAAUAUUUACUUUUGAAUUACAAACAAGUAUUCAGAUAGAGAAAUAUAACCUGGUCCAAAACUCAGCCUUGUCCAAAUGAAGGGAGUUAAAGACAUGAACUCCAUUCUUCGGUACUGGUUUGGAACUAGAUCUAAUUAUAUAAAAAGAUGUUGCUUCUCUCCUGUGAUGCCACAUAGGAUUACAGGUCACAAAGUCGUUUAUUCAGAAGCUGCCAUCUGUCCAGAGAAGCAAACGCACCGUUUCAUUUAUUUCUCUUAUGAUGGGCUUUGACCCAUUUGUAGACAGAAAAUCUUACCUGAAAAAAACGACGCUUCCGUCUACACUUUUUGCCGUCAAAGUUCUUCAUCUGUUCAUCUACCUGCGAGAAAAAGUUGAGGCGUUACUUUUUGCCGAAACGGAAUAAAGCUGAACCCAAUCGUCGUCAUUAACACACACAUUAACCAAAGCUCUCCAUUCCUUCCACGAUUUAUCAAUGAAUACAUCUUCCAAUUAUAAAAAAUGUUCUAUAAAAAUUCUUCAGUUCAAGCUUCUAAUUAAUGGUCUCUGAUGUUCGACUUCAAACGAGGAUCCUACAAGAAUAUUUAGACACAAAAUCUGAAACCGAGGAAGAUGAAGAACUGAGACUUACCCAGAAUCAAGAUCGUUCUUAAAACAAAAUCGUAAGCGAGAUGGAGGGCGACGGAGCAAGCGGAGACGGAGUAAGUGGAGGAGAGAAAGGAAGCAAGUGGCGAAGAGCGACAGAGCAAGGGCGGAGACGAUGGAACAAGCGGCGUUGAGCUGAUGGAGCAAGUGACGGAGAGAGCGAGAUGGACAGCCAUGGAACAAGCGACGGAGAGUGAGACAAGAGAUAGAACAGGCAAUCGUUGCAGUUCAAUGGUACAAGGGUGGUUGAUAGGCUCUCAGACAGGGUGAGUUUAUAAGAGCUGGAAUUUUUUUUUUUGGUGCAGAAAAGGGAAUGAAGGAUUGUGUUUAUGUUGAUUUUUUUUUUUACAAAAUUAGGUUCAUGCUUUCAAAGUUUCUGUACAUUAAGGGGUGAAAGUUCAUGUGGAGGAGUCUGACAUGACUAGAUAACUUCUCAUGAGGAUGUUGCUCAGUUUCGAAGGCCUCCAAACAACAGAGAAAGCUAGAGUAUAACACGAUGAUGCAGAGGUUAGUGUUUCAUUUCCUGCAUUUUUUCAUCUGUCUGCAUCAUAAUCUAUGUCUACACGUUAAAAAUGUCAACAACAGUGGUGAACGAUAUGUAUCACCUACUUAUUACUAAUGAGUUGCAAUGACAUGAUUGGUGACUUUGGUAGAUAUACAUUGGGAUUUUAUUUAUAAAUUUUGUUCAGUUAAUUGAUAUCGUAGAGCCUUCAGUUUCUAUACAUACAGAUUUGAAAAAUUUAUGUCUAACAAAACAAACAUUCGGUGAGAAAGAAAACAUUACCUCGGGUUGAAUCACUCAUUAUUCCAUACAUAUCUAACAAGUAACAAGGCAAACUGUGUCGCCGUGAUCUCUUACCUUAAAAUAUAGCCUCCUUGAAACUAUUUACAGUAACUUCACCAAAAUUUUUGGUCCUUAGUUACUUUAAACCGUCGAGUAUAUGGUUGCAGAUUUUCUUUACACGGCAAAUAAGAGUUUUCCAGAUCACACAGGGCAGGCAACAACAAAAGUAAAUGCGUGUAAAAGAAAGAACAAGUAAUGGAUCUAUAAAGGUUUUUUUUAUAAAACAAAUGGAUAUAUUCACAUUUGGCUUCUAAAACAUUUCAUUGCAUACUCUAAACAUCUUUAGUAAGUUUCUCCACGGUGACAAAAAAAAAAAAGUUUCUCCACACCUAAUUUCUCAAGAUUCUUUUCCAGAACUGUCACACGUUUAGCUCUAAUAGAUUAUAAAAAAGUUGUACGAAUAGUUGCAUAAACAAAACAUACAAAAAGUUUUAAACUUCACUGCAACAAAAAACAGAGUUAUUGCUUACUGCAAUAAGAGAUGAUAAACUUUGAGCAGGCCUGAUCCUAAAGGUCUGAUUUGUUUUAAAUGGGCAUUACAUAAUACGAAUAUAAAGAUUUAGAAAGGUUUAAAGAAAAAGCUUCAAUCAAAUGGUAGUUCACAUAUCGGGAUAAGAAACAAUAAUGGGUAACAACAAAUAAAUUAAUCAGAUGACUAAUGUUUAAGUAAUCCACUAUAUAAAAAAUUAAUGGGCAAAGUUUUCAAACAACUAUUUUAAAUUUUUGUCACACAAAGAGUGUUCAACAAGGAAAAUAACCAAAAUAUAUUUUAAUAAAGAAGCAAAAACCUCUUCUAGCCAUUACUUUAUGUAUAUAUAUAUAUAUAUAUAUAUAUAUAAAUAAAAGAUAAUAAAAAUAAAAAGAAAUACAUAAAUAAAAUAAAAAUUUAUAGUUUCUGACUAUAUGUUUUUUAAUUUGAAUUUUUAUAGUUUUUUCAAUUUUUCUUCCUGAAAGUGAAAAUAGGAAAGAUUAAUAAUACAAUCUAUACUAAUUCAAAAAAUACACGACCCCACGUUUUUAUUUUAUAAUGAAAAUGUUAAUUCAAAAUAAUAAUAGAAAAAUGAAAAAAAAAAAAAAGACAUAAUACACAUAUUUAAAAUCAGAAAAAUAUACACUAUUCUUGCAAAAUAGUGAAGAAUAAUAAUAAAAUCUAUACUAAUUCAAAAAUACAUGACACCACAUUUUCAUUUUAUAAUGAAAAUGUUAAUUCAAAAUAAUAAUAGAAAAAUGAAAUAUAAAAAAAGAAGACAUAACACACAUAUAUAAAAUAAAAUAAUACAUGUCAAUUGGAAUAAUUAUUGCAUGCCCUAACAUUAUUUAAAACCAUAAAAAUAAUAAACACUAUUCUUGCAAAAGCUUAAAUAAAAGUCACUGAAACAAAAUAUACAAUUACAUAGUUACAUACAUCACACGUAAACAUAAAAACCUUAUAAUAUGAGAGGAUGUAGCUUUCCAUACACAAACGUACACUUUCCAUAUUAUGUUCUCCGUUUGUUAUAGGCACGCAAGGGAAAAGUACACUUUCCAUGUCAAGUUAACCACGUAUGAUUUCACGGUUUCACCUCAAGCCGUCAAAGCUUCACUGUCACCCUUAUUAUCAAUGAAUGUGAACGUCUGUUCGACAUGGGAGGUGAACCACAAAAUCUAUUUACUUUUAUAACAUUAUCAUGUUAGGCAUAAGAUAGUUAU